UCAGUUAGGCACAGAACAUCUGCUAACGCUUACUUCAGCACGCUUACACAAACAAACUGCAUCCUACAAAAGCUUCCGUGACUGCUACCUUCAGGAAACAGAGACAGCUGUUCCGCAGGAGUCCUCAGUCUUUACGAAAACUUCUCUCACUUUUGGAUUUUGAUGCACGAGACAAUCUUUUAUAAGGCUUGGGCAAGGGGCUCCUUCAGACCAAAAUAACAAGGAAGUGGGAUAACAGCUUUGAUCCUAAAUUCCACGGAAGGGAAUACAGCUGAAAGUAUAGGAAAGCUUUUGUCCUGGAGGUACUCGUGUUUUUCUUUGCAUAUGCAGCUGGAUGCAGCCCUCGAGGAGCUAACAUGGAGAAGACCACUUCACAGGCACUGACGCUGCUGGCGUGGGAAGAACCCAAAUCCCUGGCGUGGGAAGAAGCCAACGGAGGCGGAAGAGGCCAACACCACCAAGUUGCCUUAAACCCAUCUGCACGUCCAGCCCUGCCUUCCCAGGAGCACAGCGACCCCUCAAACUCCAGGUCUGACAGCCCAUGAGCUAGUCAGAGCGCUCUCCUCCUGUUAGCUCUGUGCAGGAGACAGCUUCCAUCUUGCAGCUCUUGACCAUGUGGAGAGUCUGGUACGAGUUGUUACAGCAGAGCAAGUUGUCACCUCUGUCUUCUGACUCUUCAUUUAUAUGUAUUGGUAGUGCUAUAGGUCUAAAAUGACCAUACGCAAACAGUGUUUUGAUCUCUUCCCACAGCAACUGUGAGAUGUCCAGACAGUCAGCGAUGAGCAGGAUCCAAAGGCUUUCACGCAUCUCUUUUUCCCCGACAGACUUACUUCUUGCUAAAGACUUGAUUAAAAAAAAAAAAAAAUAUCUUUGUACAAUUUUUGAAAAUUCCAGAACAAUCUUAGUUGUGCAACUUGACAGCAGACACAUGUCUGAGGAUACCAAGCAAUUUUCAUCUCUGAAGUGAAAA